rnacentral:rRNA from 1 species
AUUGAACGCUGGCGGCAGGCCUAACACAUGCAAGUCGAACGGUAACAGGAAGCAGCUUGCUGCUUCGCUGACGAGUGGCGGACGGGUGAGUAAUGUCUGGGAAGCUGCCUGAUGGAGGGGGAUAACUACUGGAAACGGUAGCUAAUACCGCAUAAUGUCGCAAGACCAAAGAGGGGGACCUUCGGGCCUCUUGCCAUCGGAUGUGCCCAGAUGGGAUUAGCUUGUUGGUGGGGUAACGGCUCACCAAGGCGACGAUCCCUAGCUGGUCUGAGAGGAAGACCAGCCACACUGGAACUGAGACACGGUCCAGACUCCUACGGGAGGCAGCAGUGGGGAAUAUUGCACAAUGGGCGCAAGCCUGAUGCAGCCAUGCCGCGUGUAUGAAGAAGGCCUUCGGGUUGUAAAGUACUUUCAGCGGGGAGGAAGGGAGUAAAGUUAAUACCUUUGCUCAUUGACGUUACCCGCAGAAGAAGCACCGGCUAACUCCGUG